rnacentral:rRNA from 1 species
CGGUAGCACAAGAGAGCUUGCUCUCUGGGUGACGAGCGGCGGACGGGUGAGUAAUGUCUGGGAAACUGCCUGAUGGAGGGGGAUAACUACUGGAAACGGUAGCUAAUACCGCAUGACGUCUUCGGACCAAAGUGGGGGACCUUCGGGCCUCACGCCAUCAGAUGUGCCCAGAUGGGAUUAGCUAGUAGGUGGGGUAAUGGCUCACCUAGGCGACGAUCUCUAGCUGGUCUGAGAGGAUGACCAGCCACACUGGAACUGAGACACGGUCCAGACUCCUACGGGAGGCAGCAGUGGGGAAUAUUGCACAAUGGGCGCAAGCCUGAUGCAGCCAUGCCGCGUGUAUGAAGAAGGCCUUCGGGUUGUAAAGUACUUUCAGCGAGGAGGAAGGCAUUAAGGUUAAUAACCUUGGUGAUUGACGUUACUCGCAGAAGAAGCACCGGCUAACUCCGUGCCAGCAGCCGCGGUAAUACGGAGGGUGCAAGCGUUAAUCGGAAUUACUGGGCGUAAAGCGCACGCAGGCGGUU